rnacentral:tRNA from 1 species
AGGGCUAUAACUUAACUGGUAGAGUGUACGUUUUGCAAGCAAAACGUUAGCGGUUCGAGUCCGUUUGGCUCCA